UUCAUUUUCAAAAGUCUUUAUCUCUUUUACAGACCUAUUCAUCAUUAUUUAAGUUUGAAUUCGUGAGAAGCUCUAUUCGAUUUGUGUUUGGAAUCUUGUAAAACUGUAUGUGACUGGUUGAUGUGAAUCAUGAAGUUGGUUGGCUGGAAGUUUAUAUUUGGUGACUCGUAAAUCCUUUUCUUUGGAGUUUUCUGUAUACCAAUAUCCUAAUAUAUUUUCCAUAUACUAUGAAUUUAAUCAUAAGUGAAAUAUAUUUAUAUUUUACCAAAACAUCGAAUUUGUAACAUUUUAAAAUUGAUUUUCAUUACGAAAAUUAAAUAAAAUUUACUAUACCAUAGAUUGUGUUCGGAACUGUA